UUGUGGCAAAAAACCCUCAUCUGAUUUUCAGGUCUGUACUUCACAAUUGAUGUUUAUUUGCAGUGUCAAAAAGGGAACAAAAUUACGAGUCUACUAGACUUCAUUUUGAAAAUCUUGUCAAGAGAUAUGGGAAUCCUAUUAUCAUUUUAAAUUUGAUUAAGACAAAUGAAAAGAAGCCUCGAGAAUCCAUUCUUCGUACAGAGUUUGCUAAUGCCAUUGAAGCUAUUAAUAAAGAUCUGUCAGAGGAGAAUCGUCUUAAAUUCCUUCACUGGGAUCUUCACAAACAUUCUCGGAGUAAAGCUACAAAUGUUCUUCUACUCUUGGGAAAGGUGGCUGCAUACGCAUUAACACUUACAGGUUUCUUCUAUUGUCAAGUAACACCAGCCUCGCAAUCAGACGGAUGUCUGGGAUGGCCUUCUUUUGAGUGAGUGUGCUCAUACAUUCCAUUAUGUUUUCUGA